rnacentral:rRNA from 1 species
UACAUGGGGUGCAAACGUUGCUCGGAAUUAUUGGGCGUAAAGCGCACGUAGGCGGUUUGUUAAGUCGGACGUGAAAUCUCUCGGCUCAACUGAGGAAGUGCAUCCGAAACUGGCAAGCUUGAGUACGAAAGAGGGUCGCGGAAUUCCCGGUGUAGAGGUGAAAUUCGUAGAUAUCGGGAGGAACACCGGUGGCGAAGGCGGCGACCUGGGUCGAUACUGACGCUGAGGUGCGAAAGCGUGGGGAGCAAACAGG